rnacentral:snoRNA from 1 species
GAGCAAGAUCGUCGUCGAUUUCUGGCGAAUUAUUGCAUUGAAGGUUGGCUAAAUCUGUGCGAUUCUCCGUGCCUCGAACAAAUCGCGAUAUU